rnacentral:rRNA from 1 species
GACGAACCGUGCGAAUGUUGUUCGGAAUCACUGGGCUUAAAGGGCGCGUAGGCGGCCGCACAAGUCAGGGGUGAAAUCUUUCGGCUCAACCGGAAAAGUGCCUCUGAUACUGUGCGGCUCGAGGGAGGUAGGGGCGGACGGAACUUCCGGUGGAGCGGUGAAAUGCGUUGAUAUCGGAAGGAACGCCGGUGGCGAAAGCGGUCCGCUGGCCCUCUACUGACGCUGAGGCGCGAAAGCCAGGGGAGCAAACGGG